rnacentral:lncRNA from 1 species
CAACACUCACCCGCCACAGUCCGGCUCCAUUUGGUUCUUCUGCUGUCGGUGAUGCUGUAUGAAGAUGGCAAGAGCCACGCCAAGGAUGAGGACAAUGGUCACGGUACCCCCUAGAAACCUGGCCACAUUUCCAGGGUCUUCCUGGGGGAGGGGCUUUUCUAGAGCCGAGAGAGGAAGGUGGAGAGAGAGAGAGGUUGAGAGAGAGAGAGAGAGAGAAAGAGAGGGAGAGGACUCUCGGAGUCGGAGAGGUGGGCACAAAGCAAGAGAACCAGACCCUGAGGCAGUGCCCCAGCCUGGUCCCCCUCCCCCUCCCCUGUCGUGCCCCUCCUCCAUCCCGCUCCAGUUCUGGGAGGGGCUGGCCCAGUUAGGGUGGGGUAGACCUCCUACUCUGGCUCCCCAGGGCCCCAUAAUCUCAGACUCUGAUCUGGGGAUCUGGGGCAUGGGGGUGGCGGGUGGGGAGCCAGGGCAGGCAGAGGGGUGCUCAGAGAUGGGGGUCCCCACCCCCUAAUUCUAUCUCUGGCCCUGCAGGGAAGAUUCCUGUUGAGGAGUUUAAUUUUCUUCCCCUCCCUGCCCAAUUAAACAAGCAAAUGAACUAAUUGGUGCUUUGCCCUCCCAGCUCUGGAGAGGGAGGGAGGACCGGAGGGAAGGCAGAAACGCCGAGACUGCAGGGGGACCCUGGGUUGGUGGCAAACCACGUUUGUCCAGCGUGGAAGCUGAAGAACUCAGAGGGCCUCCGUCUAAGCCCUGGGGGCUGUCUGGACAUACCUGGCUGUUCUCCCAGGAGCAUUAGCCCCACGGUCAGGAGUGGGGCUGGGGUGCAGGAGCUCCUCGCCACCUGCUCUGUGGUGGGUGGGACAAAUCACGCAAUCUCUCUGGGCCUGGGAAAGCAAGGCGUCCUGGGGGCUUGUGAAGGUUUGUUGACUGAUUUCCCAGCCUGAGCCAGAGCCACUGGCUGUCCCUGAGGGCGAAGACGCCACGGGGCUGCUGGAAAGGCGUCUAUGGCAGGAAAGUGGGGAGCACACGCUGCUUUCUGGCCUGGCCCUGCUGCCCCAGGUUGGCAUGCAAGGCCACGGCCAUGCCAGGCUUUCUUUUCCCUCCCUCUGCUGGGCUCCAUUUCUCACCUCUGACCCUUACAUCAUGCAGGGAGGAAGGGACUGGUGGGAAAAUCAUAAAUGCUUCCUCCCCUCUUUCCUCCCUGCACCGUAUUAUAUAUAAUUAAACACAAGAGCACCUGAAUAGGGAUGCUAAAUUGCAGUUUGCAAUAAACACCACGGAGCCAAUUUUCCUGAAGCGGGAUUGACAAGCACCCGCCUCUNACACCCCCCCGCCUCUCUCUGCUCCAUCCCAGUGCCCUGACUGAGGCGGUGCCCGGGGGAGACCUCAGCACCAGCCUGGCUCCCAGCGAGUCCGCAGCCCCUCUCUGGCUGGGCUCCUGUCCAUCCCCAGCCGGUGGGCUGUGGCCCCAUUGGGAGGGCGGUGUCUGUGUGUAUCAUGGGGACUCAGGAGCCCCAGACACCCUGGACCCUGUGCCAGCACCGUCUCUUCUUGACUGUCACAGCCCCCUGGGUGGGGAUAACUGCCAUCAGUUAAACAAACCUGCCCCCUUUGCUCCAAACCGUAGCAUCUUAGUACCCACCCCACCCUCCUUCCUGGCCUUUCUUCUUUUUUUUUUUAAAUUUUUUUUUUCAACGUUUAUUUAUUUUUGGGACAGAGAGAGACAGAGCAUGAACGGGGGAGGGGCAGAGAGAGAGGGAGACGCAGAAUCGGAAGCAGGCUCCAGGCUCUGAGCCAUCAGCCCAGAGCCUGACGCGGGGCUCGAACUCACAGACCGCGAGAUCGUGACCUGGCUGAAGUCGGACGCUUAACCGACUGCGCCACCCAGGCGCCCCUGGCCUUUCUUCUUUAUCCUCAAACCUUCCUGCUUCCUCCCCUGCCGUCUUCCAACUCUGCUUCUCCUUUGGUUUUGCAGGUACUCCUUUGCUCCUCUGCUGCGUUCCAGGCACUGUUCUGGUGCCGGGCAACAGAGAGGCACAGGCCCUGCCUCUGAACGCCGCUGGGUCCCAUUCAUCUUCCUUCUGCCUCGUGGACAGUUCGCAAGUACGGCUGCGCCUCCCUGGCUCUGGUGCCUCCACGCCGGUCCACACCGCCAGCAUCCGGACCUAGCCUCCCUGCUCCCAGUCUUGUCCCCUCUGAGCCCUUCUCCACCCUGAGCCUGAGUGACCUUUCUAAAAUCAAAACUCAUCAGGCUACAUCCCUGCUUAAAACUUUCCAAGAGGCCCUCGUGGCCCCAGCAAAGUGUCUGAGCUUCAAGGCUUUGACCUGGGUCCUGCUCAUUCUGGAGGAGGUGACUCAGUGCUUCCCAUGGCUCGGCUUGUGCAGCCCACCCAGGCUAUUUGCAGUUCCCAGUGGCGGUGGCGAGGCGGGGGGGGGGGGGGGGGGGGGGGGGGGGGGGCGCGUCCCCUGCUCCCUCUCUCCGCCAGGCUUUUUCUCUCAUGCACCCUCCUUGCCAGGCCAACCAGUCCUCUGGGGGAACCCUCCCUUCUCCUUGGCUGGAAUGGGCGUCUUCCUUUUCUGAUACGACCGUGAAUGCGUGUCUGGUUGGUCUCUGUCCCCCUAGUCCUCUGCACAGCACCUAGUAUGUGGGAAGUUCUCCGGAAGGGUUGACGAAUCAGUCAAUGCUCGCUUGAACAAAGGCAGCUGGCAGUUUCUGAGCCCGCCUGUCCCUUGGAAUCUCCGCUCCCACCAGGGGGUACAGAGUCUUCAGCCCCUCUGCACUGGACCUGGGAAUUCUGUUUCUGGGGGCACAACCCAAACCUAUCUCCCCGUUUCCUCUCCGCACAGCGGAGGCAGGCUGGCACUUCAAAGGACUGGGUGGGCAGAGCAGUGGGGGAAACGAACAAAGAGGCAUUAGCACAGGUACCGGGUCUGGCUCACACGGUUCAGGUUUCUCUCCUCCCACAGCCAGCUCACCAUGGGGCUUGGGGGCAACCCCAUGGGGGAAUCCGGGCAGGAGGGAGAGACAGUUUCACAUCGGCCCUGCCUCGGCUCCCUGCUUCCAGGUGACCUCCCCCUGGAACUCUGGAGCCACUUUAGCAGAAGAGGGAGGCAGCUGUCCUUCUAAGGGGCCUUCUGUCGUGCUUACAGUACAGACAAUAGCAUGGUAAGUGAGACUGUGAAUGCACCAGUGUGGGCAUCGGGGAAAGGAUCAUAAUGGGUGGGAUGCUGUGGGCAAGGCCUCAAAGGUGCCAGGACCAGAGUGGAUAACUCUGGUUUUGUUCCCUCCCAGCUGCCCUCUCUGCAUGUCCCACCCUCACAAAAUAGGAGCGCAAGAUCCCAAGAGCCCCUGGGCCCUGCCUGAUCCCCCUGGAGGGUGCCCCCCUGGUGGAAGAAAUAAUAGCAGCGGAAGAAUGAGAAAUGGAGACUAAGGAAAGACAAGCAGAAGAGAUUGGCCUGAAGUCUGGGCCAGGCACCUGGGCUGAUGUGGGGUUGGUUUGAUCCUCACAUCAAGCCUGUAACAUUAGAUAA